ensembl:snRNA U4 U4 spliceosomal RNA
AACUUUGUACAGUGACAAUAUCAUUGUCAAUGAGGUUUAUCUGAGGCACGAUUAUUGCUAAUAAUAAUAACAAUAGGUAUUAUAAUAAUAAUACAUACCACUUAUCGAAUGUAUUCUAUGUGCUGGACAUUCUCCUAAA